rnacentral:lncRNA from 1 species
GAAAAAAAUGCGAUAUUUAAAAUAUAUAUAUAUAUAUAAACGGUUCUAUAAUUAGAUUUCUGGGCUAUCUCUGACCUAUCAGUGUUUUCGGUAAUUAGAAAGUAUGCGAAUAUAAUUGAGUCGCGAGUCUGUCUAUCUACCAACCUAUACAAAAGUUAUUGUUACCGUAUACCUAGAGAGAUGCGUUAUCGUGGUAAUUUCAUUUUUCCAUCAGAUUAAUUAAUCGAUUAGGUUCACAAAUUACGGAAUGGCCCAAUUGCCCUCUUGUCAUUCAGCGCACAUACUGCUAUAUCCGUUUGUGACUGCGCUAUCUGAUAGGGGAGAAAGAGAGAGAGAGCGAGAGAGAGAGAGAGAAAGAGAGGCGUCAGUCACUGACCCCAACUUUAACACAGUGGAGGUAGAUACUACUCUUCAAAAAAUAUUUUUUUCCCGACCGAUAUCCAAUAUCUGCCACCGUACUUCUCCUGUUUUUUUUUUUUUUUUUUUUAUAAAUAUUUUUUUCGGUGUUUCCUCUCGGCCAAAGCGGUUC